rnacentral:rRNA from 1 species
GAUGAACGCUGGCGGCGUGCCUAAUACAUGCAAGUCGAGCGAACAGAUGAGGAGCUUGCUCCUCUGACGUUAGCGGCGGACGGGUGAGUAACACGUGGAUAACCUACCUAUAAGACUGGGAUAACUUCGGGAAACCGGAGCUAAUACCGGAUAAUAUAUUGAACCGCAUGGUUCAAUAGUGAAAGACGGUUUUGCUGUCACUUAUAGAUGGAUCCGCGCCGCAUUAGCUAGUUGGUAAGGUAACGGCUUACCAAGGCAACGAUGCGUAGCCGACGUGAGAGGGUGCGAGCCCACACGGGAAGGGGGACAGGGCCCGCACCCCUACGGGAGGCAGAAGUGGGAUAUGUCCGGAAAUGGGGGAAAGCCUGACGGAGCAACCCCGCGUGAGAGAGAAAGGUCUUGGGAUCGAAACACUUUUUUUUGGGGGAAAAACAAAUGUGUAAGAAACUAUGCCCUUCUUGACGUUACUUAAUAAAAAAGCCACGGCUAACUACGUC